UACAGAGGGUGCGAGCGUUAAUCGGAAUUACUGGGCGUAAAGGGUGCGUAGGCGGAUGUAUGAGUUGGUUGUAAAAUCCCCGGGCUUAACCUGGGAAGGUCAAUCAAUACCGUAUAUCUAGAGGACAGAAGAGGGGAGUGGAAUUUCCGGUGUAGCGGUGAAAUGCGUAGAUAUCGGAAGGAACACCAGUGGCGAAGGCGGCUCUCUGGUCUGUAACUGACGCUGAGGCACGAAAGCGUGGGGAGCAAACAGG
rnacentral:rRNA from 1 species